AUCAACUUUUCAGUCCCAGCAGGGACUUUCAUCAGGAUCAGGCAUAGGCUAUGCCUGAUCCUGAUGAAAGUCCCUGCUGGGACUGAAAGGU